GACGAACGCUGGCGGCGUACCUAAUACAUGCAAGUCGAGCGGACUUUCAAGAAGCUUGCUUUUUGAAAGUUAGCGGCGGACGGGGGAGUAACACGUGGGCAACCUGCCUGUAAGACGGGGAUAACUCCGGGAAACCGGGGCUAAUACCGGAUAAUAUCUUUCUUCGCAUGAAGGAAGGUUGAAAGGCGGCGCAAGCUGCCGCUUGCAGAUGGGCCCGCGGCGAAUUAGCUAGUUGGUGAGGUAACGGCUCACCAAGGCGACGAUGCGUAGCCGACCUGAGAGGGUGAUCGGCCACACUGGGACUGAGACACGGCUCAGACUCCUACGGGAGGCAGCAGUAGGGAAUCUUCCGCAAUGGACGAAAGUCUGACGGAGCAACGCCGCGUGAGCGAAGAAGGUCUUCGGAUCGUAAAGCUCUGUUGUCAGGGAAGAACAAGUACCGUUCGAAUAGGGCGGUACCUUGACGGUACCUAACCAGAAAGCCACGGCUAACUACGUGCCAGCCGCCGCAGUAA
rnacentral:rRNA from 1 species